rnacentral:rRNA from 1 species
UUGUUGCAGUUAAAAAGCUCGUAGUUGAAUUUCAGAGGAGAACUCCCGGUCUUGGUUUUACCAUGUACUGGGACGUUCGAAUCUUUUUUUCUGGGAAACCGCAUGUCCUUCACUGGGCGUGUUGGGGAACCAGGACGAUUACCUUGAGAAAAAUAGAGUGUUCAAAGCAGGCUUUUGCUUGAAUACGUUAGCAUGGAAUAAUAAAAUAGGACUUUGGUUCUAUUUUGUUGGUUUUGAGGACCGAUGUCAUGAUGAAUAGGGACAGUUGGGGGCAUUCGUAUUCCGAAGCUAGAGGUGAAAUUCUUGGAUUUUCGGAAGACGAACUACUGCGAAAGCAUUUGCCAAGGAUGUUUUCAUUAAUCAAGAACGAAAGUUAGGGGAUCGAAGACGAUUAGAUACCGUCGUAGUCUUAACCAUAAACGAUGCCGACUAGGGAUCAGUGAACGUCGAUUGUGACUUCAUUGGCACCUUACGAGAAAUCAAGAGUUUUUGGGUUCUGGGGGGAGUAUAGUCGCAAGGCCGAAACUUAAAGGAAUUGACGGAAGGGCACCACCAGGAGUGGAGCCUGCGGCUUAAUUUGACUCAACACGGGAAAACUCACCAGGUCCAGACAUAGUAAGGGAUUGACAGA